GUGCUCACUUCAGCAGCAUAUAUACUAAAAUUGGAAUGAUACAGAAAAGAUUAGCAUGGCCCCUGCGCAAGGAUGACAUAUACAUUUGUGAAGCAUUCUGUAUUUUU
rnacentral:snRNA from 1 species